UUAUUCUUCAACUAGAAAAAGGGUUUCAGCCACUCAUGGCUGAAACUAACAUAAAAGAAAAGAAAGAAAGCAAAAAGAUGAAGAAGGGCUGGCGCAAGGGGGCGCACAGCUGCUGGAAUGGUUCUGCCGAGCAUAAGUUGAUCCAAAGAUGCCUGAUCUGUUGGUUUGCAUGCCCUUUUAUAGCUGAAGAGGCUGCCCUAGGUUUCCUUGUUGAGAUGGGACUCCUUUUCCCAAUUGGAGUUGAAUUCUUGGAAGGUAAUUGUAUUUUGAUGAGAUUUGCCUUCCUAAAUAUGUGGGAUUGAGUGCUGAGGUGUCUUUAGGAUUUGUUGAGCUGUCCACACGUGUUUGGGAGGGAAAACACUUCUUGAGCAUUUGAAUUUUGAUUUUCCCGCAAUUUACUGUCUGCUGGUUGCUGGUGCUGUUUGCCCGGGUUGUUUGGGCAAACAGCUCGGGCAAACAGUCUAUUUUCCCUG
rnacentral:lncRNA from 1 species